rnacentral:rRNA from 1 species
UACGUAGGGUGCAAGCGUUUGUCCGGAAUUAUUGGGCGUAAAGAGCUCGUAGGCGGUUUGUCGCGUCUGCUGUGAAAACUCGGGGCUCAACUCCGAGCUUGCAGUGGGUACGGGCAGACUAGAGUGCGGUAGGGGAGACUGGAAUUCCUGGUGUAGCGGUGGAAUGCGCAGAUAUCAGGAGGAACACCGGUGGCGAAGGCGGGUCUCUGGGCAUUAACUGACGCUGAGGAGCGAAAGCAUGGGGAGCGAACAGG